rnacentral:rRNA from 1 species
UAGGUUUCUGCUAAGUCGCAAGACGAUGUAUAGGAGCUGACGCCUGCCCGGUGCUGGAAGGUUAAGGGGAUCUGUUAGAGCAAUCGAAGCAGUGAACUUAAGCCCCAGUAAACGGCGGCCGUAACUAUAACGGUCCUAAGGUAGCGAAAUUCCUUGUCGGGUAAGUUCCGACCCGCACGAAAGGCGUAACGAUUUGGGCACUGUCUCAACAACAGACUCGGUGAAAUUGUAAUUCCGGUGAAGAUGCCGGAUACCUGCGACAGGACGGAAAGACCCCAUGGAGCUUUACUGUAGCUUGACAUUGGGUCUUGGUACUACAUGUACAGGAUAGGUGGGAGGCUUUGAAACCAGGACGCCAGUUUUGGCGGAGCCAUCCUUGGGAUACCACCCUUGUAGUACUGGGACUCUAACCAUAGGCCAUGAAUCUGGUCUUGGGACACUGUCAGGUGGGCAGUUUGACUGGGGCGGUCGCCUCCCAAAAGGUAACGGAGGCGCUCAAAGGUUCUCUCAGUACGGUCGGAAAUCGUACGUAGAGUGUAAAGGCAAAAGAGAGCUUGAUUGCAAGACAUACAGGUCGAGCAAGGAUGAAAAUCGGACUUAGUGAUCCGGUGGUUCUGCGUGGAAGGGCCAUCGCUCAACGGAUAAAAGCUACCCUGGGGAUAACAGGCUUAUCUCCCCCAAGAGUCCACAUCGACGGGGAGGUUUGGCACCUCGAUGUCGGCUCAUCACAUCCUGGGGCUGUAGUAGGUCCCAAGGGUUGGGCUGUUCGCCCAUUAAAGUGGUACGCGAGCUGGGUUCAGAACGUCGUGAGACAGUUCGGUCCCUAUCCGUCGCAGGCGUAGGAAAUUUGAGAAGACCUGUCCUUAGUACGAGAGGACCGGGAUGGACG